CUAUCCUUUAAGUUAAUCCAGAGAGGUUGGCAAGGAUGUUAAUGUUUUACUGGUAAUAGUCAUGCCGGAAUGUUUUUUAACAUAACUCCUUGCCGCCUGGGGCAGGGAGUUUUCAAUU
rfam:Propionispora sp. 2/2-37 isolate 2/2-37 genome assembly, contig: 2/2_contig14